rnacentral:rRNA from 1 species
GACGAACGCUGGCGGCGUGCUUAACACAUGCAAGUCGAACGGAAAGGCCCUGCUUGCAGGGUACUCGAGUGGCGAACGGGUGAGUAACACGUGGGUGAUCUGCCCUGCACUUCGGGAUAAGCCUGGGAAACUGGGUCUAAUACCAGAUUGGAGCCAUUUUUAGUGUGAUGGUUGGAAAGUUUUUUCGGUGUAGGAUGAGCUCGCGGCCUAUCAGCUUGUUGGUGGGGUAAUGGCCUACCAAGGCGGCGACGGGUAGCCGGCCUGAGAGGGUGGACGGCCACAUUGGGACUGAGAUACGGCCCAGACUCCUACGGGAGGCAGCAGUGGGGAAUAUUGCACAAUGGGCGCAAGCCUGAUGCAGCGACGCCGCGUGGGGGAUGACGGCCUUCGGGUUGUAAACUCCUUUCGCUAGGGACGAAGCUUUUUGUGACGGUACCUAGAUAAGAAGCACCGGCUAACUACGUG